rnacentral:rRNA from 1 species
GGUCCUACGGGACGCAGCAGUGGGGGAUAUUGCACAAUGGGGGAAACCCUGAUGCAGCGACGCCGCGUGAGUGAAGAAGUAUUUCGGUACGUAAAGCUCUAUCAGCAGGGAAGAAAAAAAGUCCACAGGACUUUGGACGGUACCUGACUAAGAAGCCCCGGCUAACUACGUGCCAGCAGCCGCGGUAAUACGUAGGGGGCAAGCGUUAUCCGGAUUUACUGGGUGUAAAGGGAGCGUAGACGGCUGUGCAAGUCUGGAGUGAAAUGCCGGGGCCCAACCCCGGAACUGCUUUGGAAACUGUACAG